rnacentral:rRNA from 1 species
CCUACGGGGGGCUGCAGUGGGGAAUAUUGGACAAUGGGGGCAACCCUGAUCCAGCCAUGCCGCGUGUGUGAAGAAUGCCCUCGGGUUGUAAAGCACUUUCAGUGAGGAAGAACGCCUGGUGGUUAAUACCCAUCAGGAAAGACAUCACUCACAGAAGAAGCACCUGCUAACUCCGUGCCAGCAGCCGCGGUAAUACGGAGGGUGCGAGCGUUAAUCGGAAUUACUGGGCGUAAAGCGCGCGUAGGUGGCUUGAUAAGCCGGUUGUGAAAGCCCCGGGCUCAACCUGGGAACGGCAUCCGGAACUGUCAAGCUAGAGUGCAGGAGAGGAAGGUAGAAUUCCCGGUGUAGCGGUGAAAUGCGUAGAGAUCGGGAGGAAUACCAGUGGCGAAGGCGGCCUUCUGGACUGACACUGACACUGAGGUGCGAAAGCGUGGGUAGCAAACAGGAUUAGAUACCCUAGUAGUC